AGGAGGCUGGGCUUUGGGCUCCUGUGCAGCUGCAGGUGGGCCUGGGUCAGCGGUGGAGGGACUGACAGAGGGUUUGUGUUCGAGGCUAUGUCACAGUGUCAUAUUUUCGGUGGAGGGACCCAUCUGACUGUCCUCGGUCAGCCCAAGGCGGCCCCCUCGGUCACACUCUUCCCGCCCUCCAAUGAGGAGCUCAGCGCCAACAAGGCCACCCUGGUGUGCCUCAUCAGUGACUUCUACCCCAGCAGUUUGACGGUGGCCUGGAAGGCAGACGGCACCCCCGUCACCCAGGGCGUGGAGACCACCAAGCCCUCCAAACAGAGCAACAACAAGUACGCGGCCAGCAGCUACCUGAGCCUGUCACCGAACGAGUGGAAAUCUCGCGGCAGAUUCACCUGCCAGGUCACGCACGAGGGGAGCACUGUAGAGAAGAGUGUGGUCCCCGCAGAGUGUUCUUAGGUCCCCGAGACUGUCAGGGAUGGAGGCCUUCCUCACCCAGAUACUCCUUCCCCAGUUCAUCAUGUACCCCUGAGAGCCAACUCCUGGAUCAGCUCAGACCAGGAAGGUCACACACCCUCCCGGUUUCUAUUUGUGCUCAAUAAAGAACUUAUCGUUUAUCAUUCAA